UACAGAGGGUGCGAACGUUGCUCGGAAUUACUGGGCGUAAAGCGCGUGUAGGCGGGUCGGCAAGUCAGGCGUGAAAUCCCCCAGGCUCAACCUGGGAACUGCGCUUGAAACUGCCGGUCUUGAGUGUCGGAGAGGGUGGCGGAAUUCCUGGUGUAGAGGUGAAAUUCGUAGAUAUCAGGAGGAACACCGGUGGCGAAGGCGGCCACCUGGACGACAACUGACGCUGAGACGCGAAAGCGUGGGGAGCAAACAGG
rnacentral:rRNA from 1 species